rnacentral:tRNA from 1 species
UAGCUUAGUUGGUAAAGAAUCUGCCUGCAAUGCAGGAGACCCAGGUUCGAUUCCUGG